rnacentral:lncRNA from 1 species
AAAUGAUGUUACACUUGUCAAGAAAAUAACAUUACUUUUUCAAGGUGCAGGAAUCUAAUAUCUGUUCAAAAAAAUAAAAAUGAUGGCAUUGAUCAAGACAUCCUUAAAAAAUGGAGUUAUCUUCCUUUGUCUAGAAUUGCUGUUAAAUCAACUACCAAUAAUGCAAUAUUUAAGUUUUCUCCCACUGAUAAAUGAAAGCAAUCUUAAACCUUGGUCCUUACAAGCACUUUCAUUAAGGUCUUUCCAUAGACCUCAUCAGGAGGUAUAACCUGAUCAGGAGACUUUGAAGGAUUUCAUCACCCC